ensembl:sense_intronic Gm37328 predicted gene, 37328
GUUAUACUAUUCAGUAAGAUCUUACUUGCAUUUCCCAGAGUGAGUAUUGACAAUAGGACCUUUGAAGCCUCCCUUUUCACCAUGUUCUUCAACCAACGCGUUGAUGGGCUGAGAGGUUUGACGUCUUUGGUGUUUCUAGCACAUAGUUUGAGAUGUUAAUUCUGACACUUAUUUGGAUCUGGGGGCAAGAAUAAUUUUUAGAAAGUGUAGUAUUUAUUGUUCUUUGUCACUUUAGGGAAAAAUUGAGCCAUAAAUAAGUACAAAAAUACAUAUAAAAUUUCAUAGUUACUAGAGUGACCUGACACUGAAAGCAUAUAUACAAACAUUUUCACUAUUCAUCCUGGAAAUCACUUAUGCUCCAAAACGUUGAGUGAAAAGACUAAGUUCUUCAGCUCCGCCUGACGUCAGAUGCUGUAUGCCGAAAGGCUGGCAACUUCAAUGUACGGCCCAGCAUCUAGCUUGUUGAAGCGGAGGGUGUUGUAAAUAGAAACUAAGGACUUCAGUUAACACCUUGUUUGUGGUUAUGCAUUGGGGAGAUGCAUACUACACUCAUUUUAUAAUUAUUUCUGGAUCCUCUCAUUGCAAUAUUUUGUAGCCAAGAGACAUUAAUAAAUAAAUGAAUAUAUUUUGUGAACCUAAA